rnacentral:rRNA from 1 species
CCUACGGGUGGCUGCAGUGAGGAAUAUUGGUCAAUGGGCGGGAGCCUGAACCAGCCAAGCCGCGUGAAGGAAGAAGGCGCCAAGCGUCGUAAACUUCUUUUGUCGGGGAAUAAAGGGCGCCACGUGUGGCGUUGUGAGUGUACCCGAAGAAAAAGCAUCGGCUAACUCCGUGCCAGCAGCCGCGGUAAUACGGAGGAUGCGAGCGUUAUCCGGAUUUAUUGGGUUUAAAGGGUGCGUAGGCGGUCCGUAAAGUCAGUGGUAAAAGCCUGGGGCUCAACCCCGGAGUGCCGUUGAAACUGUCGGACUAGAGACGGCGAGAGGUACGCGGAAUUCGCGGUGUAGCGGUGAAAUGCAUAGAUAUCGCGCAGAACUCCGAUUGCGAAGGCAGCGUACCG